AUUGAACGCUGGCGGCAGGCCUAACACAUGCAAGUCGAACGAGUGGCGGACGGGUGAGUAAUGUCUGGGAAAAUGCCCGAUGGAGGGGGAUAACUACUGGAAACGGUAGAUAAUAAAGAAUACAAUAGGAUGUGCCCAGAUGUGAUGAGCUGGUAGGGGGGGUAACGGCUAACCUAGGCGACGAUCCCUAGCUGGUCUGAGAGGAUGACCAUCCACACUGGAACUGGGACACGGUCCAGACUCCUACGGGAGGCAGCAGUGGGGAAUAUUGCACAAUGGGCGCAAGCCUGAUGCAGCCCUGCCGCGUGUAUGAAGAGGGCCUUCGGGUUGUAAAGGACUUUCAGCGGGGAGGCGUUACCCGCAGAAGAAGCACCGGCUAACUCCGUGCCAGCAGCCGCGGUAAUAC
rnacentral:rRNA from 1 species